rnacentral:tRNA from 1 species
GUCAGCAUAAUUUAAAAAAAAAUAUUAGAUUGUGAUUCUAAAAAUGGAGGUUAAACCCCUCUUGCUUACC